AAGCCCCAUCCGCCCGCCCGCCCUGCCAUGGGUUCCGUCUGCGUGAGUGUGGCAGCAAACUUAGACAGGUGGAGAAUCUUGAAUUGAUCUAAGCCCUUUAGAAACCUGUUGGCGUCUUCCCAUUUGGGGGUAACAGAGACCCCAAAAGACACAGCCUAAAGGAGAGAAUGCAGGCUGGGCUCCAGGGUUUGCUUGGUUUAGUGACUGUUUUGCUGCUCUUCCCUCAGCUUUCCAAGAACCUGGCUUCAUCUUUAGAGGAAACCCCAUGGCCGGAUUUCUAGCUGCUCAUCCAGGAGACAGGCUGGUUCUUGUAGCUCUGACAAACACAGAAGCCUCAGCAAUUUCUAACUCACACACUUACUCAAAGACCAGGCGGAUUCUUAACCACUGCGCCACCAGGGAAGCCUAAGACGAGAUAUCUUUUAGCAACAGCAUGAACCAGGAUCCAUAAACGAUGCCUGGCACAUAUGACAACUCAACACACAUAAACUGAGUGAAUUUGGGAAGUGACCUGGAAGGUUAAGUCCCCUGUAAAACAGUGUUUUUGGUCAUGAUUAGACCUGUACCCUCCAUCUGGGGAAAACUCAGAGGAAUAAACGGAGUUGUUUUGUUCUCUCACCUCACUCCCUCUCAGCAGUAGGAGACUCUGGAAAAGUGUAGCAACUCAUUCAAAAGUUCCUAUUUCUGUAAA